rnacentral:rRNA from 1 species
AUUGAACGCUGGCGGCAUGCCUUACACAUGCAAGUCGAACGGCAGCACGGGUGCUUGCACCUGGUGGCGAGUGGCGAACGGGUGAGUAAUACAUCGGAACGUACCUUAUCGUGGGGGAUAACGCAGCGAAAGCUGUGCUAAUACCGCAUACGCCCUGAGGGGGAAAGCGGGGGAUCGCAAGACCUCGCGCGAUUAGAGCGGCCGAUGACUGAUUAGCUUGUUGGUGGGGUAAAAGCUCACCAAGGCGAUGAUCAGUAGCUGGUCUGAGAGGACGAUCAGCCACACUGGGACUGAGACACGGCCCAGACUCCUACGGGAGGCAGCAGUGGGGAAUUUUGGACAAUGGGGGCAACCCUGAUCCAGCAAUGCCGCGUGAGUGAAGAAGGCCUUCGGGUUGUAAAGCUCUUUUGUCAGGGAAGAAACAGCAGCUCUAACACAGUCUGCGAAUGACGGUACCUGAAGAAUAAGCACCGGCUAACUACGUGCCAGCCGCCGCGGUAA